rnacentral:rRNA from 1 species
CGUUGAUACUGGCAGUCUAAAAUGCGGAUGCCGUGGGAGGAAUGUGUGGUGUAGCGGUGAAAUGCAUAGAUAUCACACAAAACACCGAUUGCGAAGGCAUCUCACGAAUCCGCAAUUGACGCUGAGGCACGAAAGCGUGGGGAUCAAACAGGAUUAGAUACCCUGGUAGUCCACGCUGUAAACGAUGAUGACUAACCGUCGGCGAUAUACAGUCGGUGGCCAAGCGAAAGCGAUAAGUCAUCCACCUGGGGAGUACGACCGCAAGGUUGAAACUCAAAGGAAUUGACGGGGGCCCGCACAAGCGGAGGAACAUGUGGUUUAAUUCGAUGAUACGCGAGGAACCUUACCCGGGCUCGAACGGCAGAUGAAUUGAGUAGAGAUAUUCAAGUCUUCGGACAUCUGUCGAGGUGCUGCAUGGUUGUCGUCAGCUCGUGCUGUGAAGUAUCGGCUUAAGUGCCAUAACGAGCGCAACCCUUGCCGUUAGUUGCCAUCAGGUUAUGCUGGGGGACUCUAGCGGGACUGCCACCGCAAGGUGUGAGGAAGGGGGGGGAUGACAUCAAAUCAGCACGGCUCUUACGUCCGGGGCGACACACGUGUUACAAUUGCGAGUACAAAGGGAAGCUACCGGGCGACAGGAUGCAAAUCUCGAAAGCUCGUCCCAGUUCGGAUUGGAGUCUGCAACCCGACUCAUGAAGUCGGAUUCGCUAAGCAAUCCGCGCAUCAGCGAUGACGCGAUGUAUACGUUCCCGGGCAUCGACACAC